rnacentral:rRNA from 1 species
AGUCGACGCGGGCACUUGUGCCCGAGUGGCGAACGGGUGAGUAAUACAUAAGUAACCUGGCCUUUACAGGGGGAUAACUGCUGGAAACGGCAGCUAAGACCGCAUAGGUAGGGACACUGCAUGGUGACCGUAUUAAAAGUGCUGCAAGGCACUGGUAGAGGAUGGACUUAUGGCGCAUUAGCUGGUUGGUGAGGUAACGGCUCACCAAGGCGACGAUGCGUAGCCGACCUGAGAGGGUGACCGGCCACACUGGGACUGAGACACGGCCCAGACUCCUACGGGAGGCAGCAGUAGGGAAUUUUCGGCAAUGGGGGGAACCCUGACCGAGCAACGCCGCGUGAAGGAAGAAGGAAUUCGUUCUGUAAACUUCUGUUAUAAAGGAAGAAAGACGGAUGGAGGAAAUGACAUCCGAGUGACGGUACUUUAUGAGAAAGCCACGGCCAACUACGUGCCAGCAGCCGCGGUAAUACGUAGGUGGCAAGCGUUAUCCGGAAUUAUUGGGCGUAAAGAGGGAGCAGGCGGCAGCAAAGGUCUGUGGUGAAAGACUGAAGCUUAACUUCAGUAAGCCAUAGAAACCGGGCAGCUAGAGUGCAGGAGAGGAUCGUGGAAUUCCAUGUGUAGCGGUGAAAUGCGUAGAUAUAUGGAGGAACACCAGUGGCGAAGGCGACGAUCUGGCCUGCAACUGACGCUCAGUCCCGAAAGCGUGNGGAGCAAAUAGGAUUAGANACCCUAGUAGUCCACGCCGU